ACCGGUAACCCUAAACGCAGGCGG
rnacentral:siRNA from 1 species